AACAGGUGCGCGAGUUUUGGGGUGUGGAAACCCCCGGGCGCAUGAAGGUGAAGGCGGGCUCUUGGCUCGCCCAGGCGAGAGCCGUGUCGUCUCGGUGGCGGCGCAUCGUCGACCCGUCCGUGGCCACGCCGUGGCCGGAUUGGAGUGAGAGCGUUGCUGUUGCGACCCGAAAGAUGGUGAACUAUGCCCGAGUAGGGCGAAGCCAGAGGAAACUCUGGUGGAAGCCCGUAGCGGUUCUGACGUGCAAAUCGAUCGUCCGACUUGGGUAUAGGGGCGAAAGACUAAUCGAACCGUCUAGUAGCUGGUUCCCUCCGAAGUUUCCCUCAGGAUAGCUGGAGCCCGGAGCGCAGUUUUAUCAGGUAAAGCGAAUGAUUAGAGGUCUUGGGGUCGAAACGACCUCAACCUAUUCUCAAACUUUAAAUGGGUAAGACGCCCGGCUUUCCUCGACGAAGUCGGGCCACGAAUGGCUGGGCUCCCAGUGGGCCAUUUUUGGUAAGCAGAACUGGCGAUGCGGGAUGAACCGAACGCCGGGUUAAGGUGCCCGAAUCGACGCUCAUCAGAUCCCAUGAAAGGUGUUGGUUGAUCCAGACAGCAGGACGGUGGCCAUGGAAGUCGGAACCCGCUAAGGAGUGUGUAACAACUCACCUGCCGAAUCAACUAGCCCUGAAAAUGGAUGGCGCUGAAGCGUCGUACCCAUACCCGGCCGUCGGGCGGCGGUGUCUCGUCCGACGAGUAGGAGGGCGCGGGGGUGGCGGUGCAGCUUCGGGCUCGAGCCCGGGCGAAGCCUCCUCCGGUGCAGAUCUUGGUGGUAGUAGCAACUAUUCAAACGAGAUCUUUGAAGACUGAAGUGGGGCAGGGUUCCAUGUGACCAUCAAUUGGACAUGGGUUAGUCGAUCCUAAGGGGAGGGAGAGAUCCCCGUGGAUGGCGCGCUCGUCCUCGCGGCGACGGCGCCGGUCUCCCCGAAAGGGAAUCGGGUCAACAUUCCCGAACCGGGAUGCGGGUAGGCCCUCGCGGCCACGGCGGCAACGCAAGCGAACUCGGAGACGUCGGCGGGAGUCCCGGGAAGAGUUCUCUUUUCUUGUUAACGGGCCCAUCCCCUGGAAUCAGGUUGGCUGGAGAUAGGGGUCCGCGCCCGGUAAAGCGUCACACUUGUGGUGGCGUCCGGUGCGCUUCCGACGGCCCUUGAAAAUCCGAGGGAGCGCGUGAUCCUCGCGCCCGGUCGUACCGAUAUCCGCAUCAGGUCUCCAAGGUGAACAGCCUCUAGUCGAUGGAACAAUGUAGGUAAGGGAAGUCGGCAAAACGGAUCCGU
rnacentral:rRNA from 1 species